CAUAGCCCGAUGGAGCAUGUUAUUGAUGUAUUGUUGCCUUCCUCGUUUCAAGUUUACCUGAUAUUAAAUUGCAUGGGACGUGCUGUUAUUUUAGCUUUAUAAAUAAUCCGUCUGUCAGAGCGAAGGAAUUGUGUUAUUCCCAAAAUUGGAUGGCGAUCAUGGCGUUAAAUCUCCCGUUAUCAACGUGGAAACAAGUGCAGUAUUUACUGUAAGGUCAGUAUACUACCAUACAUUAAAGUUGACUUGUUAUUUGGUCAAAUUCCCGCUUUGAUGUUUUCAAUAUUGUACUUUAGUUUAAUUAACCCUAUCCUACCCUGGUUCCAGAGGUUUAUUUUUAUUAUUUCCACCCUAUCUUGAUGAGUUUGGUGUUUGCUAUUGAUGAAAACAUGUGAACAUUGGUUCUCAGACGAGUCUGAAGAUUUUGUUAUUCAGUUAUUUGUAUGUAUUGUUUUAUACAUUUUUGCUGAGUAUGAUGCCCGUUUGCAUCUAGUUGUGGAUUGUUGUUUAAUUUAAAUGUGCAAACUUUUUUCAUCUAUAAAAUUUAUUCAUCCAAAUAUUGCUAUGUGUGUUCUGAUACACAGAUAUUGAGAAUACAUGUGCCUUUACUUAAGAUUGCUAAUUUUAGAGAUGACAGUGUAUGCAGUGGCGGAAAUCUUGGGGGGACAAGGGGGGGGCCACCCCUCCACCUUCACAGAAAAUUGAUGAAUUUUCGGAAACUUUGACUUAAAAGAGGGCAAGAACAGGCUUUUCAAGUGCAAGUGAGGGGGGAGGGUAUGUUGGAAAUUUGAAAGUUUUGUUGGAAAUAUAGGAGGCUUUGCCCCCACCGGAAAAAGUGAAUUUCCGCCACUGAGUGUAUGUAUAGGGGUUUACCCAAGAAGGAGGGAUUUAUGUCAGAUAAUGACCCGAGGACGCUGUGGGGUCAUUAUCGGACAUAAAUCCUGACAUAUUUAAUUCAUCAUUGAGGAGGUUUUCCAACAAAGUUUUGUCUGUUUCGUCUGCUUAGAACGACCAUUUUGUGAGUUUUCCUUCAUCUUUUCAGCUAAAAAUAAUCACCUAUUAAAAAUAAUCACCUUGGUACAUUAACAAAAACUGACUCAAUGAUGAGGGAUGACGAGUUAUGUGAUGAAGAUGGAAGUGAUGAAGAGGAUGGAAGUGAUGAAGAGGAUGGAAACGAUGAAGAGGAUGGAAGUGAUGAAGAGGAUGGAAGUGAUGAAGAGGAUGGAAGUGAUGAAGAGGACGAAAUUGCCCAUGCUGUACCAUUCAAGUGCAUCGGUGUGUUCAUGAGAAAAACUACCAACAUCAUUUGGAAAAUUUAAGGCGUACCUCACCUUCAUGAACAAGAUAAAAUGAUGAAUGUAAGAAUACGGCCAGCGCCAUUCAUCCAAGGGACCCAAGUGCAAUAGGUAAUUCCAGCUUUUUUAGUUUAUGUGUGCAGUGAGGGG